CGGUUAAGUUAGAAAGGGCGCACGGUGGAUGCCUUGGCACUAGGAGCCGAUGAAGGACGGGACGAACACCGAUAUGCUUCGGGGAGCUGUAAGCAAGCUUUGAUCCGGAGAUUUCCGAAUGGGGAAACCCACCACUCGUAAUGGAGUGGUAUCCAUAUCUGAAUACAUAGGAUAUGAGAAGGCAGACCCGGGGAACUGAAACAUCUAAGUACCCGGAGGAAGAGAAAGCAAAUGCGAUUCCCUGAGUAGCGGCGAGCGAAACGGGACCAGCCCAAACCAAGAGGCUUGCCUCUUGGGGUUGUAGGACACUCUGUACGGAGUUACAAAGGAACGAGGUAGAUGAAGAGGUCUGGAAAGGCCCGCCAUAGGAGGUAACAGCCCUGUAGUCAAAACUUCGUUCUCUCCUGAGUGGAUCCUGAGUACGGCGGAACACGUGAAAUUCCGUCGGAAUCCGGGAGGACCAUCUCCCAAGGCUAAAUACUCCCUAGUGACCGAUAGUGAACCAGUACCGUGAGGGAAAGGUGAAAAGCACCCCGGAAGGGGAGUGAAAGAGAUCCUGAAACCGUGUGCCUACAAGUAGUCAGAGCCCGUUAACGGGUGAUGGCGUGCCUUUUGUAGAAUGAACCGGCGAGUUACGAUCCCGUGCAAGGUUAAGCAGAAGAUGCGGAGCCGCAGCGAAAGCGAGUCUGAAUAGGGCGAAUUGAGUACGUGGUCGUAGACCCGAAACCAGGUGAUCUACCCAUGUCCAGGGUGAAGUUCAGGUAACACUGAAUGGAGGCCCGAACCCACGCACGUUGAAAAGUGCGGGGAUGAGGUGUGGGUAGGGGUGAAAUGCCAAUCGAACCUGGAGAUAGCUGGUUCUCUCCGAAAUAGCUUUAGGGCUAGCCUCAAGGUAAGAGUCUCGGAGGUAGAGCACUGAUUGGACUAGGGGCCCCUACCGGGUUACCGAAUUCAGUCAAACUCCGAAUGCCGAUGACUUAUCCUUGGGAGUCAGACUGCGAGUGAUAAGAUCCGUAGUCGAAAGGGAAACAGCCCAGACCGCCAGCUAAGGUCCCAAAGUAUACGUUAAGUGGAAAAGGAUGUGGAGUUGCUUAGACAACCAGGAUGUUGGCUUAGAAGCAGCCACCAUUUAAAGAGUGCGUAAUAGCUCACUGGUCGAGUGACUCUGCGCCGAAAAUGUACCGGGGCUAAACGUAUCACCGAAGCUGCGGACUGUUCUUCGAACAGUGGUAGGAGAGCGUUCUAAGGGCUGUGAAGCAAGACCGGAAGGACUUGUGGAGCGCUUAGAAGUGAGAAUGCCGGUAUGAGUAGCGAAAGAGGGGUGAGAAUCCCCUCCACCGAAUGCCUAAGGUUUCCUGAGGAAGGCUCGUCCGCUCAGGGUUAGUCGGGACCUAAGCCGAGGCUGAAAGGCGUAGGCGAUGGACAACAGGUUGAUAUUCCUGUACCACCUCCUCACCAUUUGAGCAAUGGGGGGACGCAGGAGGAUAGGGUAAGCGCGGUAUUGGAUAUCCGCGUCCAAGCAGUUAGGCUGGGAAAUAGGCAAAUCCGUUUCCCGUGAAGGCUGAGCUGUGAUGGCGAGCGAAUUAUAGUAGCGAAGUUCCUGAUUCCACACUGCCAAGAAAAGCCUCUAGCGAGGUGAGAGGUGCCCGUACCGCAAACCGACACAGGUAGGCGAGGAGAGAAUCCUAAGGUGAUCGAGAGAACUCUCGUUAAGGAACUCGGCAAAAUGACCCCGUAACUUCGGGAGAAGGGGUGCUCUGUUAGGGUGCAAGCCCGAGAGAGCCGCAGUGAAUAGGCCCAGGCGACUGUUUAGCAAAAACACAGGUCUCUGCGAAGCCGUAAGGCGAAGUAUAGGGGCUGACGCCUGCCCGGUGCUGGAAGGUUAAGAGGAGCGCUUAGCGUAAGCGAAGGUGCGAAUUGAAGCCCCAGUAAACGGCGGCCGUAACUAUAACGGUCCUAAGGUAGCGAAAUUCCUUGUCGGGUAAGUUCCGACCCGCACGAAAGGCGCAACGAUCUGGGCACUGUCUCAACGAGAGACUCGGUGAAAUUAUAGUACCUGUGAAGAUGCAGGUUACCCGCGACAGGACGGAAAGACCCCGUGGAGCUUUACUGCAGCCUGAUAUUGAAUGUUGGUACAGCUUGUACAGGAUAGGUAGGAGCCUUGGAAACCGGAGCGCCAGCUUCGGUGGAGGCAUCGGUGGAUAACUACCCUGGCUGUAUUGACCUUCUAAACCCGCCGCCCUUAUCGGGCGGGAGACAGUGUCAGUGGGCAGUUUGACUGGGGCGGGUCGCCUCCUAAAAGGUAACGGAGGCGCCCAAAGGUUCCCUCAGAAUGGUUGGAAAUCAUUCGCAGAGUGUAAAGGCACAAGGGAGCUUGACUGCGAGACCUACAAGUCGAGCAGGGACGAAAGUCGGGCUUAGUGAUCCGGUGGUUCCGCAUGGAAAGGGCCAUCGCUCAACGGAUAAAAGCUACCCCGGGGAUAACAGGCUUAUCUCCCCCAAGAGUCCACAUCGACGGGGAGGUUUGGCACCUCGAUGUCGGCUCAUCGCAUCCUGGGGCUGUAGUCGGUCCCAAGGGUUGGGCUGUUCGCCCAUUAAAGCGGUACGCGAGCUGGGUUCAGAACGUCGUGAGACAGUUCGGUCCCUAUCCGUCGCGGGCGCAGGAAAUUUGAGAGGAGCUGUCCUUAGUACGAGAGGACCGGGAUGGACGCACCGCUGGUGUACCAGUUGUUCUGCCAAGGGCAUCGCUGGGUAGCUAUGUGCGGACGGGAUAAGUGCUGAAAGCAUCUAAGCAUGAAGCCCCCCUCAAGAUGAGAUUUCCCAUUCCGCAAGGAAGUAAGAUCCCUGAAAGAUGAUCAGGUUGAUAGGUCUGAGGUGGAAGUGUGGCGACACAUGGAGCUGACAGAUACUAAUCGAUCGAGGACUUAACCAAUUU
rnacentral:rRNA from 1 species